UAAUACGUAGGGGGCUAGCGUUGUCCGGAAUCAUUGGGCGUAAAGAGCGUGUAGGCGGUCCGGUAAGUCCGUUGUGAAAGUCAAGGGCUCAACCCUUGAAUGCCGGCGGAUACUGUCGGGCUAGAGUCCGGAAGAGGCAAGUGGAAUUCCCGGUGUAGCGGUGAAAUGCGCAGAUAUCGGGAGGAACACCUAUGGCGAAGGCAGCUUGCUGGGACGGAACUGACGCUGAGACGCGAAAGCGUGGGGAGCAAACAGGAUUAGAUACCCUGGUAGUCCACGCCGUAAACGAUGGGCACUAGGUGUGGGAGGUGUCGACUCCUUCCGUGCCGAAGCUAACGCAUUAAGUGCCCCGCCUGGGGAGUACGGCCGCAAGGCUA
rnacentral:rRNA from 1 species